GCCCAUGUAGCUCAGUCGGUAGAGAGUUAGGUUUUUGACCUCAAUGUUCAGGGUUAGGCACCCUGCGUGGGCG
rnacentral:tRNA from 1 species